AUUGUCCCAGACAAGAGUCACCGGCACUUCAUCACUGAUUUUUUCAGGGAUGUAUAUUUCUCCCCUCUCCAUUUGUAGAUGAGCAAGGGCAGUAUCAUGCUCAAGGACCUGGGAAUUAGAUGAGCAGUGACCCAGACCAUUUAACAGCCCUAUAAGCUGUGCAGAGCCAGUCAUAUGCCGAACUGCCAUUGCAAUGACAUCAACACGUUCAUCUGAUGGUUGUGAUGACAUUCCUGAUAUCCAUGCAAUGAAGUUAAAAAGUUGGUGAGGCACUACACUCAUGCCAUUUUCCAGUGUGAGAUCACUUGCUGUUGGAGGCCAUGGUAGCUUUGGAUGAGGAGGAAGCAGAGGAGACGGCAACUUCAUGCACAAUUUCGUCAGCUGACAGAUUGUCCACAUAUACAAGAUACCGGGUAUAAUCUCGAUAGCAAGUGAAGUGAUACCGUGCUUCACUAGCCACCAAGUCCCUGUCUUGGAUAUGGAGAAGGAGAGACUCGUCCCUUUUCCCUUCAGCGGCGAGUAGCAAUUUCCCGGCAUGGAGUGUUUCACACUGUGUUAGCUUUUCUUUUACCCUUUUCCUACUGUGUGACUGAACCUUGUACUUCUCAUGUUUGCAUAUAAUGCAUUGUACUGGAAGCAGGUGUGGGGCCCGCUUGAACGUGCAGGAAUCACGGGCGUAAGAUCUCAGAGCCCGUGUUUUAACUGGAGUUGCAUCACCAUCCUCUGCCUCUACCACUAAAAGUGCAAAACAAUAGAUUUAGGUUCUGCACCCUUCCCCACAUUACUGAUUAAAGAAAAAUGGUUUGUAACUUUCGGCAGGGUAUAUUGGUUCCACCUGUUCCCUUAACAUGGGUAAUAAACCUGUUUCACAGCUUUCAGGUGUCCGUCCUUGUUGAUGUUAAUGAGGCCAUAAUAGGAAAGGUUCAUUUUUGCAGGGUGUUUUUAUUAUAUUAGUUAAUUCAUUGUGUAGCUAUAUUAAGUUAACUCAAAUCUAAACUCCCUGAAGUCCUAGACUCAAUUAAACCUACUUCCUUCAUAUCUUUCUUUUUUCUAUCUAUCCUUCUUUCUAGAUUUCUUUCUAACCUUUUCUUUUUUUUUCUUAUCUAUUUCUUUUUUUCUUUCUACCUGUCUAUUGAACUUUAUUGCCUUAACUUUUGGGCUAGGCUUUAAGCCAACUUAAAAGUUUGCCAAAACAUUUCAAGUAGUUUUUUGAACUAAUCUUAUGUUGUUACUGCAACUACACUGCACAUAUCUGUAUGUGUUGUUCAUACUGUAUAUCUAUUCUGCUCUUAUAUAAUAUUUAAUUUAUAUUACUGUAAAUACUACUUUCUUAACUGUAUAUUACUGUCCAUUCUG